UAGGUAACCACGUACAUGUCAGGAGCCCACAUUUCAAACUCUCUUUCCCAGUUAAUGAUGGUGGAGAGAGGAGCGCUGACCAGGAAGGGACCUUUGGAAUGACCCUGCAUCAGGCGGAAGACAAAAGUGCAAAACAAUAAUAUAACUGGAGCAGCUGUGGUGCACAGCGGUCGACCUCUGAUCAGAAGAUCUCAGGUUCGGUUCCCGCGUCUCCCAUCUAUGAACCCCACAUUUCUCCUGGUGGUUAUAGGUUGGUGCCAGUGUUUGUCAACGAAGGACACGGUGGAUCAUCAACCACUCCAACUUGACUCCAAAACGGCAAAACUCUUCCUCCAUGUGGACAAAGAGAGGAUCUUUGUUCUUCCUUUUGGUGCUUUUGUCAUCGUCCCCCUCGCCGCCAAAGUCCACAGGAGGCGGU